rnacentral:lncRNA from 1 species
AAAUACCUGCAGAGAUGCCCAAAAAAUAACAAACAUUGCCAAUGUUUUUGACAGAGAAUUUCUCAUGAAGAGUAUUAAAAACAGAAGUAACAAGCAAAGGAUGCAUACUAGUUAUAUGAAUUUGGCAAUUUUGCCAAAUUUGACAGAUAAGGUGAAAUUAUUGGAUAAUUUAUACAUAGUUCAAGAGAUUGCUAUUCGAAGAAAAACAUGAUUCAUAGAUACAUGAGUUUACCCAGUAAACACCAAGCAUAUAGUUGAUUGCAGAUUUAGAUGAAAAAACAUAAUUAAUAUCCACGAUUAUAAGUUUGGUUGAGGCAAUCAUAUAAACACAAAGUGCAGCACUCACCUUUGUGUUAAAAUCAAGGCGCACUGUCAAUACAUGAAAGUUUACAGCAAGAACUGAGCUACAAUCUCACUUAUCUACAUGGGAAACUUGGAAUGACACAGCACUACAGCCACUACUAUGUCAAGGAAUCAACCACAACAGCUGCUGCGGCACCAAAAUUGGAAAAAAAAAAACAAGUUACAGGUGAGAAAGGUGUCAUGCUUUAUACCUAAACAGAUUUAUACAACAGGGACAAAAAGGUGUGCUCUACAUAGUGGUAGAGCAAGCACAAAUCAAGUGGAUGAUUCUUGUCAUCUCCGGUGUCAUUUUGGCUGCCGCUUCUACCUUGUAUAUAAAGGUCUUGCUAUUGGAUUCUCUUGUACAGUGCCUUUGAAGUGAGAUCAGAGGACAUAUAUAUGCUUCAGUUAUUGCUCGGGGUGAUGAUGGCGCGCCCUGCUUACUUACUAUAUACGGAUCAAAAAUAAAUCUGUCCUUUCUGAGAAGUGGUGAAGCUCAUUCAGCACUGAUCGCAGUUCCGGGGGAAACUUGUACUUCCUUCACCUGGACAUCAUAUGAUGAUAGGACCUCUUUCUGCAAACAUACAUGUAAACCGCUUCAGUAACCAGACAUUUCAGGAAUGCAAGAGAGCUUUAUAAUUUAGGCAUAUAAUGCUUUAUGUUUAAAUAAUAGGCUGGUUAAUGCCGGAACUCCAAACUAGUGCAAUGUACCUGGAAGAAGGGUAAAGGAAUAGCAUGCUUCUACUAACAAUACUGGCUUGGAAUGCAACAACAAUCUAACGUUAUGUGGAACCAUAGGAAAAUUAGAUCAUUGAUGUGAAGACACAACAAUGAGACGAGAGCAAAGGGAAACGGAUGCAGAUCCAUGGCAUCGAAAAAUUAGAGCCACAGCAUUAAAAGGUCAUUGUUUGGUAAAGGAGUCAGAAACUAGUGAUUUUAUGAUUUUGUGUAUAAAAUAGAACUUUCUCAUUGGUGUUAUUCUGUCCCAUGAAGCCAAGGUGAAAUCCGAUGUUUGAUCAAGUCUUGUGUAUCAAGUUAGACAUUCCNAGUAAGCGUUUGCAGGCAGUUCAAUGUGUAGCCGUUGGAGCAUGUAAGAACUGACAAGCUUGUUGACAUAGAAGUAAUAUCGGGCCCAGUGCGUGUGAGGUAUUGCAAGGCCCUUACUGUGCUGCGGUACAGUGUGGGAUCAUCAGAAGGAACACCCAUAUCUCGAGACAACUUUGUAGCUGGUGUCAUAGGAGUGGAGCAACCUUUGCAAUCAAGUAUCUUGGUUUUGGAAAGUAACUCAUGGAUAUAUUUGUGUUGGCCCAAGAGAAAAGUACCUGCAGAGUGAGUGACCUCGAUAACCCAAAAAAUAACUCACAUUGCCCAUGUUUUUGACACAUAAUUUCUCAUGAAGAGUAUUAACAACAGAAGUAACAAGCAAAGGAUGUAUACUAGUUAUAUGAAUUUGUCAAUUUUGCCAAAUUUGACAGAUAAGGUGAAAUUAUUGGAUAAUUUAUACAUAGUUCAAGAGAUUGCUAUUCGAAGAAAAACAGAUUCAUAGAUACAUGAGUUUACCCAGUAAACACAAGCAUAUAGUUGAUUGCAGAUUUAGAUAAAAAACAUAAUUAAUAUCCACGAUUAUAGUUUGGUUGAGGCAAUCAUAUAAACACAAAGUGCAGCACUCACCUUUGUGUUAAAAUCAAGGCGCACUGUCAAUACAUGAAAGUUUACAGCAAGAACUGAGCUACAAUCUCACUUAUCUACAUGGGAAACUUGGAAUGACACAGCACUACAGCCACUACUAUGUCAAGGAAUCAACCACAACAGCUGCUGCGGCACCAAAAUUGGAAAAAAAAAAACAAGUUACAGGUGAGAAAGGUGUCAUGCUUUAUACCUAAACAGAUUUAUACAACAGGGACAAAAAGGUGUGCUCUACAUAGUGGUAGAGCAAGCACAAAUCAAGUGGAUGAUUCUUGUCAUCUCCGGUGUCAUUUUGGCUGCCGCUUCUACCUUGUAUAUAAAGGUCUUGCUAUUGGAUUCUCUUGUACAGUGCCUUUGAAGUGAGAAUCAGAGGACAUAUAUAUGCUUCAGUUAUUGCUCGGGGUGAUGAUGGCGCGCCCUGCUUACUUACUAUAUACGGAUCAAAAAUAAAUCUGUCCUUUCU